AGAAAAAAACUCAAAAAAAAA
rnacentral:sRNA from 1 species